GACGAACGCUGGCGGCGUGCUUAACACAUGCAAGUCGAACGCUGAAGCUAAGCUUUUGUUGGGUGGAUGAGUGGCGAACGGGUGAGUAACACGUGAGUAACCUGCCCCCUUCUUUGGGAUAACGCCCGGAAACGGGUGCUAAUACUGGAUAUUCACUGGUCUUCGCAUGGGGUCUGGUGGAAAGGGUUUUUCUGGUGGCGGUUGGGCUUGCGGCCUAUCCGCUUGUUGGUGGGGUGAUGGCCUACCAAGGCUUUGACGGGUAGCCGUCCUGAGAGGGUGACCGGUCACAGUGGGACUGAGAUACGGCCCAGACGCGUACGGGAGGCAGCAGUGGGGAAUAUUGCACAAUGGGCGCAAGCCUGACGCAGCGACGCCGCGGAAGGGAUGGAGGCCUUCGGGUUGUGAACCUCUGGCGCAAAAGGUCAAGCCGCAACAAUGGUUGUGGUGAGGGUAGUGGGUAAAGAAGCGCCGGCUAACUACGUG
rnacentral:rRNA from 1 species